rnacentral:rRNA from 1 species
AUUGAACGCUGGCGGCAUGCCUUACACAUGCAAGUCGAACGGUAACAGGUUAAGCUGACGAGUGGCGAACGGGUGAGUAAUGUAUCGGAAAGUGCCCAGGCGUGGGGGAUAACUACUCGAAAGAGUGGCUAAUACCGCAUACGACCUGAGGGUGAAAGCGGGGGACCGUAAGGCCUGGCGCGAUUGGAGCGGCCGAUAUCAGAUUAGCUAGUUGGUGGGGUAAUGCCCACCAAGGCGACGAUCUUUAGCCGGUCUGAGAGUACGACCAGCCACACUGGGACUGAGACACGGCCCAGACUACUACGGGAGGCAGCAGUGGGGAAUUUUGGACAAUGGACGCAAGUCUUAUCCAGCCAUGCCGCGUGCGGGAAGAAGGCCUGCGGGUUGUAAACCGCUUUUGUCAGGGAAGAAACGAGUUUCUCUAAUACAGAGACUUAAUGACGGUACCUGAAGAAUAAGCACCGGCUAACUACGUGCCAGCCGCCGCCGUAAAAC